rnacentral:rRNA from 1 species
GACGAACGCUGGCGCCGUGCUUAACACAUGCAAGUCGAACGAAGAGCGAUGGAAGCUUGCUUCUAUCAAUCUUAGUGGCGAACGGGUGAGUAACGCGUAAUCAACCUGCCCUUCAGAGGGGGACAACAGUUGGAAACGACUGCUAAUACCGCAUACGAUCUAAUCUCGGCAUCGAGGAUAGAUGAAAGGUGGCCUCUACAUGUAAGCUAUCACUGAAGGAGGGGAUUGCGCCUGAUUAGCUAGUUGGAGGGGUAACGGCCCACCAAGGCGAUGAUCAGUAGCCGGUCUGAGAGGAUGAACGGCCACAUUGGGACUGAGACACGGCCCAGACUCCUACGGGAGGCAGCAGUGGGGAAUCUUCCGCAAUGGACGAAAGUCUGACGGAGCAACGCCGCGUGAGUGAUGACGGCCUUCGGGUUGUAAAGCUCUGUUAAUCGGGACGAAAGGCCUUCUUGCGAAUAGUGAGAAGGAUUGACGGUACCGGAAUAGAAAGCCACGGCUAACUACGUG